rnacentral:ncRNA from 2 species
UUGUUAUCACGAAAGCUGGAGGGAAUAGACCCUGCGAAAGCUUAGCAACCUCCCGCGCUAGUGGAAAGGUGCUACAUUCUAUUCCGAUAUUUAUCGGAAGCAGAUAACGU